rnacentral:piRNA from 1 species
UACACAUGCACAGAUGGAUGUGCGCACAC